AUGUAUAUCUAUAUGGCAGUCGCCAUCAUUACCUUGUCAGGCCUGACCCAGGGAGACUCUGUGACACAGAAGGUGGGUUCAUUGAUUGGGAAAGAAGGAGGAAGUGUGACCAUGGAAUGUCAUUAUGAUACGUCUCUGAGCAGCUACUAUUUAAACUGGUAUCGAGAACAAAAAGAAACACAACCACAUUAUGUGCUUCAAAAGUAUUCGGGUGGUAAUACAGAUAAAGCAGACUUUGCUAAAAAGCGGUUCUCUAUUGAGCUCCAAACCUCGACAAAAUUCACCAGUUUAACCAUCUCCCUGCUGGAGCUGUCUGACAGCGCUAUAUAUUACUGUGCUCUCGAACCACACAGUGAUGAGAACCAGUCAGAGACUC